AGAAUCAACGCUGGCGGCGUGCCUAACACAUGCAAGUCGAACGAGAAAGGGGUAGCAAUACCCUGAGUAAAGUGGCGCACGGGUGAGUAACACGUGACUAACCUACCCUGGAGUGGGGGAUAACUGAGGGAAAACCUUAGCUAAUACCGCAUAAUACCUACGGGUCAAAGGAGCAAUUCGCUUUGGGAGGGGGUCGCGGCCGAUUAGUUAGUUGGCGGGGUAAUGGCCCACCAAGACGAUGAUCGGUAUCCGGCCUGAGAGGGCGCACGGACACACUGGAACUGAAACACGGUCCAGACUCCUACGGGAGGCAGCAGUGGGGAAUUUUGCGCAAUGGGGGAAACCCUGACGCAGCAACGCCGCGUGGAGGAUGAAGUACUUCGGUACGUAAACUCCUUUCGAUCGGGACGAUUAUGACGGUACCGAGAGAAGGAAGCCCCGGCUAACCUUCGCGCCAGCCAGCCGC
rnacentral:rRNA from 1 species